CGGAGGGAUCAUUACAGAGUUAUCCAACUCCCAAACCCAUGUGAACUUAUCUCUUUGUUGCCUCGGCGCAAGCUACCCGGGACCUCGCGCCCCGGGCGGCCCGCCGGCGGACAAACCAAAACUCUUGUUAUCUUAGUUGAUUAUCUGAGUGUCUUAUUUAAUAAGUCAAAACUUUCAACAACGGAUCUCUUGGUUCUGGCAUCGAUGAAGAACGCAGCGAAAUGCGAUAAGUAAUGUGAAUUGCAGAAUUCAGUGAAUCAUCGAAUCUUUGAACGCACAUUGCGCCCAUUAGUAUUCUAGUGGGCAUGCCUGUUCGAGCGUCAUUUCAACCCCUAAGCACAGCUUAUUGUUGGGAACCUACGGCUUCGUAGUUCCUCAAAGACAUUGGCGGAGUGGCAGUGGUCCUCUGAGCGUAGUAAUCUUUUAUCUCGCUUCUGUUAGGUGCUGCCCCCCCGGCCGUAAAACCCCCAAUUUUUUCUGGUUGACCUCGGAUCAGGUAGGAAUACCCGCUGAACUUAAGCAUAUC
rnacentral:rRNA from 1 species